CCUACGGGCGGCAGCAGUCGAGAAUCAUUCACAAUGGGGGAAACCCUGAUGGUGCGACGCCGCGUGGGGGAAUGAAGGUCUUCGGAUUGUAAACCCCUGUCAUGUGGGAGCAAAUUAAAAAGAUAGUACCACAAGAGGAAGAGACGGCUAACUCUGUGCCAGCAGCCGCGGUAAUACGUAGGAUCCGAGCAUUAUCCGGAGUGACUGGGUGUAAAGAGUUGCGUAGGUGGCAUAAUAAGUAGCUAGUGAAAUCUGGUGGCUCAACCAUUCAGACUAUUAGCUAAACUGUUAAGCUCGAGACCGUUAGGGGUAACUGGAAUUUCUAGUGUAGGAGUGAAAUCCGUAGAUAUUAGAAGGAACACCAAUAGCGUAGGCAGGUUACUGGGACGGUUCUGACACUAAGGCACGAAAGCGUAGGGAGCAAACGGGAUUAGAUACCCCAGUAGUC
rnacentral:rRNA from 1 species